GGCUGGUCCAAAGGUAAUGAAUUAUCUCAAUUGACUGUUCAUAGUCCUUUACAGAUGGAACUCCUUAUUCUACUAUUUCUCCCUUUCUCACUACUGCACUUGUCUUCAA
rnacentral:Y_RNA from 1 species